GCUCCUUCACUCAGUCUAAUUACGAGCGAUUGUUUGGGCUGUGAUGUGAAGAAAUAUUAGAGAAUGGAAAAAAAGAACAGAGUUCAGAAUAUUGGGCUGGAACUGAUUCAUGUUUUGGCAAGGACUCUGAGCUCGAUUUUAUGCUUCAGCCUUGUGACGGUAUCCCAGGGAGCAACCUUGCCAUAUAAGCACAUGAAGCCCAAUUCUAUGGUUUAUUUUGAAAAGGUCCAAGCAAAAACAUUUGAAAAAUGCAGGAAUAACAUCAGCCAUCGGGUGAAGCUCUGUGUUAAUCAUGCACCGUGCCCUCCUCCGAAGGACCGAAGAUUGGUUAUGGAUUACUUGUGUCAACGCCAGCAAGAGUGUAAAGAACUACUGGUGAAAGCAGAUCAACAACGCUUCCCCAACGAGAAAGAACAACACGUGCUCAAAAAUAGAGUGGUCAGUGUGCAAGUCAGCUGCCCUCUUCCUCAGGAUUCCUUUGCUCACCUCCUUGGAGCAGUUAACAGCAGUUCGAUGACUGAGUCUCAUCCUCAGGUCAAUGGGGUUCGUGCACCAAGAGAUGAUGUGGGCGUUCAAGGUCCUGGAAGUUAAUUACAGUGCAAGGC
rnacentral:lncRNA from 1 species